rnacentral:misc_RNA from 1 species
CCGAAUGUUACCACAACAAAAACCGUCCUUUAGCCGCUCGUCGGGCGAUCCCAGGGCGGGAUCCCAGGCUCCUUCGGGGGUGCUCGUCGUCGGCGCUUUUUUCAGCUCUGUUUUCCAGCGGGCUUCUGAGUGUAAAAAAAAAUCUAUCA